rnacentral:lncRNA from 1 species
CAAAAAUUUAAUAAUUGGGGUUCUUUGAUAUGCCGAAUCUAACUAUGUAUGUAGAUUCUUAAUUUUUGGUCCCGUUUUCAAAUUGGUCUACAUUAAGGUCCAAAGGGUCCAAAAUUAAACUUAGUUUGAUUUUAACAAAAAUUGAAUCCUUGGGGUUCUUUGAUAUGCUGAAUUUAAAAAUGUACUUAGAUUUUUAUACGACCGCAAAAUUUGAAAAAUUUUUCGUCGUAUAUUGCUAUCACGUUGGCUUCGGCGUCGGCGUCGUCGUCGGCGUCCGAAUACUUUUAGUUUUCGCACUCUAACUUUAGUAAAAGUGAAUGGAAAUCUAUGAAAUUUUAACACAAGGUUCAUGACCACAAAAGGAAGGUUGGUAUUGAUUUUGGGAGUUUUGGUCCCAACAUUUUAGGAAUUAGGGGCCAAAAAGGGCCCAAAUAAGCAUUUUCUUGGUUUUCGCACUAUAACUUUAGUUUAAGUUAAUAGAAAUCUAUGAAAUUUUGACACAAGGUUUAUGACCACAAAAGAACGGUUGGGAUUGAUUUUGGGAGUUUUGGUUUCAACAGUUUAGGAAUUAGGGGCCAAAAAAGGCCCCAAAUAAGCAUUAUUCUUGGUUUUCGCACAAUAACUUUAGUUUAAGUAAAUAGAAAUCAAUGAAAUUUAAACACAAGGUUUAUGACCAUAAAAGGAAG